rnacentral:rRNA from 1 species
UACGGAGGGGGUUAGCGUUGUUCGGAAUUACUGGGCGUAAAGCGCACGUAGGCGGAUCAGAAAGUUGGGGGUGAAAUCCCAGGGCUCAACCCUGGAACUGCCCUCAAAACUCCUGGUCUUGAGUUCGAGAGAGGUGAGUGGAAUUCCAAGUGUAGAGGUGAAAUUCGUAGAUAUUUGGAGGAACACCAGUGGCGAAGGCGGCUCACUGGCUCGAUACUGACGCUGAGGUGCGAAAGUGUGGGGAGCAAACAGG